CGAUGAUCAGGAGCUUGCUCCUGUGAUUAGUGGCGAACGGGUGAGUAACACGUGAGUAACCUGCCCCUGACUCUGGGAUAAGCGUUGGAAACGACGUCUAAUACUGGAUAUGAUCACUGGCCGCAUGGUCUGGUGGUGGAAAGAUUUUUUGGUUGGGGAUGGACUCGCGGCCUAUCAGCUUGUUGGUGAGGUAAUGGCUCACCAAGGCGACGACGGGUAGCCGGCCUGAGAGGGUGACCGGCCACACUGGGACUGAGACACGGCCCAGACUCCUACGGGAGGCAGCAGUGGGGAAUAUUGCACAAUGGGCGAAAGCCUGAUGCAGCAACGCCGCGUGAGGGAUGACGGCCUUCGGGUUGUAAACCUCUUUUAGUAGGGAAGAAGCGAAAGUGACGGUACCUGCAGAAAAAGCACCGGCUAACUACGUGCCAGCAGCCGCGGUAAUACGUAGGGUGCAAGCGUUGUCCGGAAUUAUUGGGCGUAAAGAGCUCGUAGGCGGUUUGUCGCGUCUGCUGUGAAAUCCCGAGGCUCAACCUCGGGCUUGCAGUGGGUACGGGCAGACUAGAGUGCGGUAGGGGAGAUUGGAAUUCCUGGUGUAGCGGUGGAAUGCGCAGAUAUCAGGAGGAACACCGAUGGCGAAGGCAGAUCUCUGGGCCGUAACUGACGCUGAGGAGCGAAAGCGUGGGGAGCGAACAGGAUUAGAUACCCUGGUAGUCCACGCCGUAAACGUUGGGCGCUAGAUGUAGGGACCUUUCCACGGUUUCUGUGUCGUAGCUAACGCAUUAAGCGCCCCGCCUGGGGAGUAC
rnacentral:rRNA from 1 species